GCCCGGGUGGCGAAAUUGGUAGACGCACGGGACUUAAAAUCCCGAGUGGCGCAAGUCACGUGCCGGUUCGAUUCCGGCCCCGGGCA
rnacentral:tRNA from 1 species